UAUAUAUUCCCAUCAAUAUUUAUAAUUAGUUAACUAGUAAAAUGCAAAGACACUAUUACAAUUUAUUUAUUUAUGUUUUGGGCUCUUUUCCCGAAUUCAGAACUAACUUUAAACCAUAUUGAGCUUAAAAUAUCAAUGAUAUGAUGCUAGAGAGAGACAGACCAAAAAGAACUUUCAAGAAUGUAAGUUGAAAGCUUUUUUACAACAACUAGGAAAGGGACAGUUUUGUUUACAAGCCAAGUCGUUUCGUUACGCAGCGUUAAAAUCUCUCGAAUCAAAGCUCACAUACUGCAAAUAUGAUGCUGGUAACUGAAACAAAGGAAAGUAUACGAUUAUACCACAUCCC
rnacentral:lncRNA from 1 species